GUCUUCUUUGGACGUACUUAGUUUGCAAAUUGCAAGACAAACAUCGAAUCAUAGUUAUUCGAAUAAAGUCAUCGCUAUUGUUUUCAAUUUCAUCAUCAGACACCACACGUGUCUUGCAAUUCAAACAUAUAUAUAUUGUUUAUCGACGUCAAUAAUGCAUCCCUCAAGGUAUGCAGGCUUAAAUAUAGCAGAAGGAAUGCCUUGCAUAGACUAGAGUAACAAUGCUAAACAAAUAAUGUUUUAAAAGUGCACAUUAUUUUGUUGAUACAUUAUAUAUGCUCUCAUAAGGGACGGACCAUUAGAAAAGUGAUGGGGGGGGGGGGGUUAAUUUUUUUAUGUUUGUAUUUUUUUCCAUUUUGGCAGCUGUGUAUGCAUGUUUUUUUUAAAAUAUGUCUUCUCGCAUGCAAUUUUUUUUUCCAAUACAGCUAUACAAAUGUUAACGAAACUGUUCUCUUGACAAAAAAUAUCCCUUUAAUGCACACUGCAAAAUAAUAUCUUUAAGGAUAUUUUAGGCUAAACCAGAUAUCAUUUAGUGAUAUAAGUAUGGCAGAACAAAUGAGCAAAAGGAAGAAGAAACAAAACAUGAUAAAAGAAAAGAGCAAGAUUAAGUAGAGGAAAAGAAAAUGUAGCAGAAGAUAUUGCCAUUGAGAUUAUAUUUAUAGAUCAGGAAGAUAGUGUCAGUUUGAUAGAUGAAGAGGAUAGUGGUAGUUUGAUUGUAGAUGAAGAAGAUAGUGUCAGUUUGAUUGUAGAUGAAGAAGAUAGUGUCAGUUUGAUUGUAAAUGAAGUGUAAAGUGGUAGUUUGGUUGUAGAUCAAGAAGAUAGUGUCAGUUUAAUUGUAGAUCAAGGGAAAAGUGGUAGUUUGGUUGUAGAUCAAGAAGAUAGUGGCACUGCGAUUUCAGGGGCCCCCGGUUCAAAACUUUCGAAGGCCCCCCUAGUAGAAGUGUCAAAGGAACAAGUCAAGCGCCAUAUAUGCACAAGUUUUCUAGGGGGUCCAGAGCAUGCUCACCCGGAAAAUUUUUGAAUCUAGAUUCUCUGAAAUACCAUUUCCCGGAGUUUGGGGAGAGAUUUUACAGAGUUCUGAUGGUCAGAAAACGACAUUGUAACAUAUCAGAGGCCCUGGCCAAUGUUUUUGCUCUAUAGCCUGACCCUGGGGCCCCCAUUUGGCCCAUUGGGGUUGGAGGCCCCCGGGUUCUCCCGGUCCGAGCCCAUAGUAGUUACGCCACUGAUCGAGGACAGUGGCAGUGUGAACGAGGAUUAUUAAAGACAAUAGAAAAUAUUUUGAUAGUAUAUAAUAAAACUAUAUAAGAGUUACUGUUAAUAUUGAAAGAAAUUGCAUAUUAAUAUAUAAUAUAUUUAUAUAUU